rnacentral:rRNA from 1 species
AUUGAACGCUGGCGGCAUGCUUUACACAUGCAAGUCGAACGGUAACAGGCCGCAAGGUGCUGACGAGUGGCGAACGGGUGAGUAAUGCAUCGGAACGUGCCCAGCCGUGGCGGAUAACUACCCGAAAGCGUAGCUAAUACCGCAUACGAUCUCUGGAUGACAGCGGGGGACCGUAAGGCCUCGCGCGUUUGGAGCGGACGCUGUCAGACUAGGUAGUUGGUGGGGUUAAGGCCCACCAAGCCAACGAUCUGUAGCUGGUCUGAGAGGACGACCAGCCACACUGGGACUGAGACACGGCCCAGACUCCUACGGGAGGCAGCAGUGGGGAAUUGUGGACAAUGGGCGCAAGCCUGAUCCAGCAAUGCCGCGUGCAGGAAGAGGGCCUUCGGGUUGUAAACUGCUUUUGUACGGAACGAAACGGCUCUGGUUAAUACCCGGGGCUAACGACGGUACCGUAAGAAUAAGCACCGGCUAACUACGUG